UAUCAAUAAGCGGAGGAAAAGAAACCAACAGGGAUUGCCCUAGUAACGGCGAGUGAAGCGGCAACAGCUCAAAUUUGAAAUCGGCCCCCCGGUCGAGUUGUAAUUUGCAGAGGAUGCUUCUGGGCAGCGGCCGGUCUAAGUUCCUUGGAACAGGACGUCAUAGAGGGUGAGAAUCCCGUAUGCGACCGGCGCGCACCCUCGACGUAGCUCCUUCGACGAGUCGAGUUGUUUGGGAAUGCAGCUCUAAAUGGGAGGUAAAUUUCUUCUAAAGCUAAAUACCGGCCAGAGACCGAUAGCGCACAAGUAGAGUGAUCGAAAGAUGAAAAGCACUUUGGAAAGAGAGUUAAAAAGCACGUGAAAUUGUUGAAAGGGAAGCGCUUGCCACCAGACUUGACGGCGGGGUUCCGCCGGUCUUUUGACCGGUCCACUCCCCGCCGGCAGGCCAACAUCGUCUGGGGCCGCCGGAUAAGACGUUGGGAAUGUAGCUCCUCGGAGUGUUAUAGCCCUUCGUGAUACGGCGCGCCCCGGGCGAGGUCCGCGCUUCGGCAAGGAUGUUGGCGUAAUGGUUGUCAGCGGCCCGUCUUGAAACACGGACCAAGGAGUCUAACAUCUAUGCGAGUGUUCGGGUGUCAAACCCCUACGCGUAAUGAAAGUGAACGGAGGUGGGAGCUUCGGCGCACCAUCGACCGAUCCUGAUGUCCUCGGAUGGAUUUGAGUAAGAGCAUAGCUGUUGGGACCCGAAAGAUGGUGAACUAUGCCUGAAUAGGGUGAAGCCAGAGGAAACUCUGGUGGAGGCUCGCAGCGG
rnacentral:rRNA from 1 species